rnacentral:rRNA from 1 species
CAGUCGUACCGGCGGAUAAUCAGCCUUUCGGGUGCGAUUCUGUGGGGCGUGAGGAGCUUAACCGCCUUCAUGUUUUGCAUAUUCGUGCACAUUUGGUGUACUUGUCCGUGUGGUGGGUUAACAUCAAUUUCGGUCGUCAUAAAAUGAUUAGAGGAAUGUAGCUUUGGUCUCGUAUCGAAGUGUUAUAGACUCUGGUAGAUGUGACGAUUGGGAUUGAGGAUUGCAACGGAUACCCCUUCGGGGGCUACCCGUCUGAUCUCUGAAGGUUGCUCCGGUGCCGAAAGCGUGCUUACGGUCAUCGAAAGUGAUUUUCAAAAGGUUAGAACGGGUUAAAUUCGUUAAGGAUGUUGACGUAAUGGCUUUAAACGA